GGAGGUAUAGCUUAGCAGUAGUGCAUGUGCUUGGUAUGCACAGAGUCCUGGGUUCAAUCCCUAGUGCCUCCC
rnacentral:tRNA from 1 species